GUACAGAAUAAAGGUAGGGGUAGGGUAGUAGUGAUAUCCAAUAUUUUGCAGUUUCAUUGCAUUUCAUUGGUAUCGUUAUGGUUUAUUGCGAGACCUCAUGUCAGUAUUCUGGGUUGAGUGGUUCGGUUUUUGUAUGUCUCAGGUAGAGGAUGUCACUUGGUCAUGGGUCUUGUCGUCCUUGCCUCUGGGUGCGUGUUUGGUUCUUCUAGUGUUAUGUUCGUCAGGUUUGUAUCUCCUUCGGUUUUAUGUGGGUCUGGGGUUUGGUCUGGUGUGUUUGUUUUGUGUGUAGGUGUGGUCAGUGGGGGAAUUUGGUGGUCUCAGCCUAUGGGUGGUCAUCUUCUUUGAGCUGUUGAUGUGGGUGUUUUCCGGUGUGGUGGAGUUUGAUUCUACUUCAAGUACCUGAG